rnacentral:tRNA from 1 species
CCCCGUCAGGAGCAUCAGGUUGCCCAUCACUCCCUUGGUAAGGGAGAGGUCGGCAGUUCGAUCCUGCCCAUGGGCACCA